UACGGGGGGUGCGAGCGUUGUCCGGAAUCACUGGGCGUAAAGGGCGCGUAGGUGGUUUGAUAAGGGUGUGGUGAAAGUCCGGGGCUCAACCCCAGAUCUGCCGUGCCGACUGUCAAACUCGAGGACUGUAGAGGCAGGCGGAAUUCCGGGUGUAGCGGUGGAAUGCGUAGAGAUCCGGAGGAAGACCGGUGGCGAAGGCGGCCUGCUGGGCAGUUUCUGACACUGAUGCGCGACAGCGUGGGGAGCAAACAGG
rnacentral:rRNA from 1 species